rnacentral:misc_RNA from 1 species
UGGUUCUGGCAUCGAUGAAGAACGCAGCGAAAUGCGAUAAGUAGUGUGAAUUGCAGAAUUCCGUGAAUCAUCGAAUCUUUGAACGCAAAUUGCACUCCCUGGUAUUCCGGGGAGUAUGCCUGUUUGAGGGUCAGUUUAAUAAAAAUCGAUGUGUUGCUUUUUUGUAUCACCUCGGAAUCGGGUUUUCUUAGCCUUCGGGUUUUAAGAGACUUAAAAUUGAAUUUUUUGUGCAUUUUUAUAGACGUACAUAAGAUAUUUUUUUAUUCGUCUUGGAGUGCCAAAUUUAUUAGGUAUGAUCAUGUUGUGUGGUUUCGUCCCUAUAAGUUUCAUCAUCUGACCUCAAAUCAGGUAGGGACGCCCGCUGA